rnacentral:rRNA from 1 species
AUUGAACGCUGGCGGCAUGCCUUACACAUGCAAGUCGAACGGCAGCACGGGUGCUUGCACCUGGUGGCGAGUGGCGAACGGGUGAGUAAUACAUCGGAACGUACCUUAUCGUGGGGGAUAACACAGCGAAAGCUGUGCUAAUACCGCAUACGCCCUGAGGGGGAAAGCGGGGGAUCGCAAGACCUCGCGCUAUUAGAGCGGCCGAAGCCUGAUUAGCUUGUUGGUGGGGUAAAAGCCCACCAAGGCGACGAUCAGUAGCUGGUCUGAGGGGACGAUCAGCCACACUGGGACUGAGACACGGCCCAGACUCCUACGGGAGGCAGCAGUGGGGAAUUUUGGACAAUGGGGGCAACCCUGAUCCAGCAAUGCCGCGUGAGUGUAGAAGGCCUUCGGGUUGUAAAGCUCUUUUGUCAGGGAAGAAACACCGGCUCUAACACAGUCCGGGAAUGACGGUACCUGAAGAAUAAGCACCGGCUAACUACGUGCCAGCAGCCGCAGUAA